AUACGGAAGGUCCGGGCGUUAUCCGGAUUUAUUGGGUUUAAAGGGAGCGCAGGCGGAGAUGCAAGCGUGACGUCAAAUUUCGGGGCUCAACCCCGUCUCGCGUCGCGAACUGCGUCCCUUGGUUGCGGGAAGGGGAGGCGGAACUCGUGGUGUAGCGGUGAAAUGCAUAGAUAUCACGAAGAACUCCGAUCGCGAAGGCAGCCUUCCGGCCCGUCAACGACGCUCAUGCUCGAAGGUGCGGGUAUCAAACAGGAUUAGAUACCCUGGUAGUCCGCACAGUAAACGAUGGACACCCGCGGUUUGGCCUGUAUGGCUGAGCCGCCAAGCGAAAGCGUUAAGUGUCCCACCUGGGG
rnacentral:rRNA from 1 species